CCUACGGGUGGCAGCAGUGGGGGAUAUUGCACAAUGGGGGGAACCCUGAUGCAGCGACGCCGCGUGGGUGAAGGAGUAUUUCGGUAUGUAAAGCCCUAUCGGCAGGGAAGAAUUUCGACGGUACCUGACUAAGCAGCCCCGGCUAACUACGUGCCAGCAGCCGCGGUCAUACGUAGGGGGCAAGCUUUAUCCGGAUUCACUGGGUGUAAAGGGAGCGUAGACGGCCAGGCAAGCCUGGAGUGAAAGCCCGGGGCCCAACCCCGGGACUGCUCUGGGAACUGUCCGGCUGGAGUGCGGGAGGGGCAGGGGGAAUUGGUGGUGUAGCGGUGAAAUGCGUAGAUAUCAGGAGGAACAACGGCGGGGAAGGCGGCCCGCUGGACCGCGACGGACGUUGAGGCUCGAAAGCGUGGGGAGCGAACAGGAUUAGAUACCCGGGUAGUC
rnacentral:rRNA from 1 species